CCUACGGGUGGGCAGCAGUGGGGAAUAUUGGACAAUGGGGGGAACCCUGAUCCAGCCAUGCCGCGUGUGUGAAGAAGGCCCUCGGGUUGUAAAGCACUUUCAGUGAGGAAGAACGCCUGGUGGUUAAUACCCAUCAGGAAAGACAUCACUCACAGAAGAAGCACCGGCUAACUCCGUGCCAGCAGCCGCGGUAAUACGGAGGGUGCGAGCGUUAAUCGGAAUUACUGGGCGUAAAGCGCGCGUAGGUGGCUUGAUAAGCCGGUUGUGAAAGCCCCGGGCUCAACCUGGGAACGGCAUCCGGAACUGUCAAGCUAGAGUGCAGGAGAGGAAGGUAGAAUUCCCGGUGUAGCGGUGAAAUGCGUAGAGAUCGGGAGGAAUACCAGUGGCGAAGGCGGCCUUCUGGACUGACACUGACACUGAGGUGCGAAAGCGUGGGUAGCAAACAGGAUUAGAUACCCUGGUAGUC
rnacentral:rRNA from 1 species